UCAUACGGAGGAAAAGGAAACCAACAGGGAUUGCCUUAGUAGCGGCGAGUGAAGCGGCAAAAGCUCAAAUUUGAAAUCUGGCGUAUUCUGCGUCCGAGUUGUAAUUUGAAGAAGGAUACUUUGGGGUUGGCUCUUGUCUAUGUUUCUUGGAACAGAACGUCACAGAGGGUGAGAAUCCCGUGCGAUGAGAAGCCCAAUUCCGUGUAAAGUGCCUUCGAAGAGUCGAGUUGUUUGGGAAUGCAGCUCUAAGUGGGUGGUAAAUUCCAUCUAAAGCUAAAUAUUGGCGAGAGACCGAUAGCGAACAAGUACAGUGAUGGAAAGAUGAAAAGAACUUUGAAAAGAGAGUGAAAAAGUACGUGAAAUUGUUGAAAGGGAAGGGCUUGAGAUCAGACUUGGUAUUUUGUAUGUCUUGCUUUCGGGUGGGGCCUCUGCAGUUUACUGGGCCAGCAUCGGUUCGGGUGGUAGGACAAUUGCGAAGGAACGUGGCACUGCUUCGGUGGUGUGUUAUAGCCUUUGUGGAUACUGCCUGUCUGGACCGAGGACUGCGUCAUUUGACUAGGAUGCUGGCAUAAUGAUCUUAAGUCGCCCGUCUUGAACACACGACCACA
rnacentral:rRNA from 1 species